UACGUAGGCAGCGAGCGUUGUUCGGAAUUACUGGGCGUAAAGAGUGUGUAGGCGGUGCUCCCAGUCUGUUGUGAAAUCUCCCGGCUUAACUGGGAGGGUGCAGCGGAAACUAGAGUGCUAGAGGGUGGGAGAGGUAAGCGGAAUUCCUGGUGUAGCGGUGAAAUGCGUAGAUAUAGGGAAGAACACCAAUAAAGGCGAAGGCAGUUAACUAUUCUAUUCCUGACAUUGAGGCAUGAAAGCGUGGGGAGCAAAACGG
rnacentral:rRNA from 1 species